rnacentral:rRNA from 1 species
GACGAACCGUGCAACCGUUAUUCGGAAUCACUGGGCAUAAAGGGCGCGUAGGCGGCUUGACAAGUCAGGGGUGAAAUCCGGCAGCUUAACUGUCGCAGUGCCUUUGAUACUGUCGAGCUCGAGGGAGGUAGGGGUCUGUGGAACUUCCGGUGGAGCGGUGAAAUGCGUUGAUAUCGGAAGGAACGCCGGUGGCGAAAGCGACGGACUGGAUCUCUUCUGACGCUGAGGCGCGAAAGCUAGGGGAGCAAACGGG